rnacentral:rRNA from 1 species
UGGGGAAUAUUGGACAAUGGGCGAAAGCCUGAUCCAGCCAUGCCGCGUGUGUGAAGAAGGUCUUCGGAUUGUAAAGCACUUUAAGUUGGGAGGAAGGGCAUUAACCUAAUACGUUAGUGUUUUGACGUUACCGACAGAAUAAGCACCGGCUAACUCUGUGCCAGCAGCCGCGGUAAUACAGAGGGUGCAAGCGUUAAUCGGAAUUACUGGGCGUAAAGCGCGCGUAGGUUGUUUGUUAAGUUGGAUGUGAAAGCCCCGGGCUCAACCUGGGAACUGCAUCCAAAACUGGCAAGCUAGAGUACGGUAGAGGGUGGUGGAAUUUCCUGUGUAGCGGUGAAAUGCGUAGAUAUAGGAAGGAACACCAGUGGCGAAGGCGACCACCUGGACUGAUACUGACACUGAGGUGCGAAAGCGUGGGGAGCAAACA